UGUUGGCUCUAAUUUAAGACC
rnacentral:piRNA from 1 species